rnacentral:sRNA from 1 species
AUUAAGGUUCGACUCGAGCGAAAGCGAGAGAACGUUGCCAACGGCAACGGCCCGAAGGGUGAGGAGCGAAGCGACGAAUAAUCCUUCCCCCACCACCA